AUAUUUAUGAUAUUAACACCUUCAGCAAAUUUUACAUAUGAAAUUUUGAAGCUUGUUGUCAAUACAACAAAAUAGCAUACAUAUCAAAUUGCAUAUAUAUCAACAUAUGUGUAACCCUAUCUAUUGAAAAAACCCGCAUUAUUAACUUGUACACUUAGUAUAUAUAAGAAAUGUUUAAUUGUUAAUAGUAU